rnacentral:rRNA from 1 species
CACAUUGGGACUGAGACCCGGCCCAAAUUCCUACGGGAGGCUGCAGUAGGGAUCUUCCACAAUGGGCGAAAGCCUGAUGGAGCAACGCCGCGUGUGUGAUGAAGGCUUUCGGGUCGUAAAGCACUGUUGUAUGGGAAGAAAAGUUAAGGUAGGGAAUGACCUUAGCCUGACGGUACCAUACCAGAAAGGGACGGCUAAAUACGUGCCAGCAGCCGCGGUAAUACGUAUGUCCCGAGCGUUAUCCGGAUUUAUUGGGCGUAAAGCGAGCGCAGACGGUUGGUUAAGUCUGAUGUGAAAGCCCGGAGCUCAACUCCGGAAAGGCAUUGGAAACUGGUUAACUUGAGUGCAGUAGAGGUAAGUGGAACUCCAUGUGUAGCGGUGGAAUGCGUAGAUAUAUGGAAGAACACCAGCGGCGAAGGCGGCUUACUGGACUGUAACUGACGUUGAGGCUCGAAAGUGUGGGUAGCAAACAGGAUUAGAUACCCUGGUAGUCCACACCGUAAACGAUGAACACUAGGUGUUAGGAGGUUUCCGCCUCUUAGUGCCGAAGCUAACGCAUUAAGUGUUCCGCCUGGGGAGUACGACCGCAAGGUUGAAACUCAAAGGAAUUGACGGGGACCCGCACAAGCGGUGGAGCAUGUGGUUUAAUUCGAAGCAACGCGAAGAACCUUACCAGGUCUUGACAUCCUUUGAAGCUUUUAGAAAUAGAAGUGUUCUCUUCGGAGACAAAGUGACAGGUGGUGCAUGGUCGUCGUCAGCUCGUGUCGUGAGAUGUUGGGUUAAGUCCCGCAACGAGCGCAACCCUUAUUGUUAGUUGCCAGCAUUCAGAUGGGCACUCUAGCGAGACUGCCGGUGACAAACCGGAGGAAGGCGGGGACGACGUCAGAUCAUCAUGCCCCUUAUGACCUGGGCUACACACGUGCUACAAUGGCGUAUACAACGAGUUGCCAACCUGCGAAGGUGAGCUAAUCUCUUAAAGUACGUCUCAGUUCGGACUGCAGUCUGCAACUCGACUGCACGAAGUCGGAAUCGCUAGUAAUCGCGGAUCAGCACGCCGCGGUGAAUACGUUCCCGGGUCUUGUACACACCGCCCGUCACACCAUGGAAGUUUGUAAUGCCCAAAGCCGGUGGCCUAACCGUAAGGAGGGAACC